ensembl:rRNA 5S_rRNA 5S ribosomal RNA
CUAGACAGCCAUAUUACCCUGAUGCACCCGAUCUCCUCUAAUAUCAGAAGUUACGCAGAGUCAGGCCUGGUAAAUAUUUGGGAGACACAUCUUUAAAACCAAAUUUCCUUUUACA